CUUGUUUUUUUCUUUUUUGCUUUGCGUUCAGAUGUGUUUGAUGUUUUCUCCGUUUGGUUUGCCUUUUUUUUUUUCCUUCGAGAUUCUCCUUCCAUACCCACCUUCCGUUCUCUCUCUCUGUUUCUGCCUCCCCGCGCCCCCCUCUUCUUCUCCUGCUUUUACAUUUUUUUUUGUUUGAUUUUUGUUUGUUUUUUUUUUGUUUUCUUGUUAUUUUCCGUCCCUUCUCUAAUGUUCUUCUCCUCGCAUGUUCUGUAUUUUUCUGGCCGGUGACAACCAUUCUUCCCUCACGCCCUCUCUGUCGCUUCAUUUGAAGAAAAGGGUAAAUUUAUUUUUGAUGGAGUUUUUUUUUUGUUCUUUUUUUUUUCUUCUUGGCUGAAAGGUAGUUUUUUUUUUUUUGGGUUUCUCGGUUGCAUGUUAAAUCUGUUUUUCUUUCUUGUGGGGGUCUUUUUUUUUUUUUUAAUGGAUAUUUUUGGGUUUCUCGGUUGGAUUUGUUGUUCGUUGGGUCUCUGUUUGUCUCUGGUAGAGUAUGUAUUGUGGUUGGGAUGUCUCCUAUGCAUUGCGGCUCAGAUCCGCUGCCUAUGGCCGCACAUCGCAGCCCCCCACCACGCCGAACCUCCACGCUUUGGCCGUACCCACAUUCCCCAGCCCAUGCCGAGCUCCCUCACAUGCCCUCUCCCUCAUUUUUUUUUUUCUCGAUGGCAUCUGAAGUACAUACGAACAAAUCUGAAGACGCAAUUUGUAUGAUGGGUUUGAUUUUUAUGUUGGGUUUACUUUUUGUAAAAUACAGAUGUGAAUACGCAAAUAUAUUUAUUUCCAUUUUUCUAUUUUUGCUGUGAUGCAUAUGCAUAUCAUCUAAUUAGAAACUGUAACAAAUUCAUUCGUAUAAUACAAUUAAUUCUUACA